rnacentral:rRNA from 1 species
GACGAACGCUGGCGGCGUGCCUAAUACAUGCAAGUCGAGCGAAGGGAUGGGAGCUUGCUCCCUGAUNUUAGCGGCGGCCGGGUGAGUAACACGUGGGCAACCUGCCCUGCAGACUGGGAUAACUCCGGGAAACCGGAGCUAAUACCGGGUAAUACAUCGCACCGCAUGGUGCAAUGUUGAAAGUUGGCUUUCUGAGCUAACACUGCAGGAUGGGCCCGCGGCGCAUUAGCUAGUUGGUAAGGUAAUGGCUUACCAAGGCGACGAUGCGUAGCCGACCUGAGAGGGUGAUCGGCCACACUGGGACUGAGACACGGCCCAGACUCCUACGGGAGGCAGCAGUAGGGAAUCUUCCGCAAUGGACGAAAGUCUGACGGAGCAACGCCGCGUGAGUGACGAAGGCCUUCGGGUCGUAAAGCUCUGUUGUUAGGGAAGAACAAGUACCGUUCGAAUAGGGCGGUACCUUGACGGUACCUAACCAGAAAGCCACGGCUAACUACGUGCCAGCAGCCGCGGUAAUAC